UACGUAGGGUGCAGGCGUUAAUCGGAAUUACUGGGCGUAAAGCGUGCGCAGGCGGUCUCUUAAGACAGACGUGAAAUCCCUCGGCUUAACCGGGGAACUGCGUCUGAUACUGGAUGGCUUGAGUUCGGGAGAGGGAUGCGGAAUUCCAGGUGUAGCGGUGAAAUGCGUAGAUAUCUGGAGGAACACCGGUGGCGAAGGCGGCAUCCUGGACCGACACUGACACUGAGGAGCGAAAGCCAGGGGAGCAAACGGG
rnacentral:rRNA from 1 species